GUUUUUCCUGGACAUAUAUUAAAGUUGAAACAAUACAGAGAAGAUUAGCAUGGUCCCUACGUAAGGAUGACACGGCGAUUUCGUGAAGCGCUCGAAAAAAUU
rnacentral:snRNA from 1 species